rnacentral:rRNA from 1 species
UAUAAUGCAAGUCGAGCGGACCGACGGGAGCUUGCUCCCUUAGGUCAGCGGCGGACGGGUGAGUAACACGUGGGUAACCUGCCUGUAAGACUGGGAUAACUCCGGGAAACCGGGGCUAAUACCGGAUGCUUGAUUGAACCGCAUGGUUCAAUUAUAAAAGGUGGCUUUCAGCUACCACUUGCAGAUGGACCCGCGGCGCAUUAGCUAGUUGGUGAGGUAACGGCUCACCAAGGCGACGAUGCGUAGCCGACCUGAGAGGGUGAUCGGCCACACUGGGACUGAGACACGGCCCAGACUCCUACGGGAGGCAGCAGUAGGGAAUCUUCCGCAAUGGACGAAAGUCUGACGGAGCAACGCCGCGUGAGUGAUGAAGGUUUUCGGAUCGUAAAACUCUGUUGUUAGGGAAGAACAAGUACCGUUCGAAUAGGGCGGUACCUUGACGGUACCUAACCAGAAAGCCACGGCUAACUACGUGCCAGCAGCCGCGGUAAUACGUAGGUGGCAAGCGUUGUCCGGAAUUAUUGGGCGUAAAGCGCGCGCAGGCGGUUUCUUAAGUCUGAUGUGAAAGCCCCCGGCUCAACCGGGGAGGGUCAUUGGAAACUGGGGAACUUGAGUGCAGAAGAGGAGAGUGGAAUUCCACGUGUAGCGGUGAAAUGCGUAGAGAUGUGGAGGAACACCAGUGGCGAAGGCGACUCUCUGGUCUGUAACUGACGCUGAGGCGCGAAAGCGUGGGGAGCGAACAGGAUUAGAUACCCUGGUAGUCCACGCCGUAAACGAUGAGUGCUAAGUGUUAGAGGGUUUCCGCCCUUUAGUGCUGCAGCAAACGCAUUAAGCACUCCGCCUGGGGAGUACGGUCGCAAGACUGAAACUCAAAGGAAUUGACGGGGGCCCGCACAAGCGGUGGAGCAUGUGGUUUAAUUCGAAGCAACGCGAAGAACCUUACCAGGUCUUGACAUCCUCUGACACCCCUAGAAAUAAGGCUUCCCCUUCGGGGGCAAAUGACAGGUGGUGCAUGUUUGUCCUCAACUCCUGUCCGGAAAUGUUGGGUAAGUCCCGAACGAACGCACCCUUGAUUUAGUUCCACAUCCAUUGGG